AUGAACGCUAGCGGCGUGCCUAAUACAUGCAAGUCGAACGAAACUUCUUUAUCACCGAGUGCUUGCACUCACCGAUAAAGAGUUGAGUGGCGAACGGGUGAGUAACACGUGGGCAACCUGCCCAAAAGAGGGGGAUAACACUUGGAAACAGGUGCUAAUACCGCAUAACCAUAGUUACCGCAUGGUAACUAUGUAAAAGGUGGCUAUACUACCGCUUUUGGAUGGGCCCGCGGCGCAUUAGCUAGUUGGUAGGGUAAAGGCUUACCAAGGCAAUGAUGCGUAGCCGAAUUGAGAGGUUGAUCGGCCACAUUGGGACUGAGACACGGCCCAAACUCCUACGGGAGGCAGCAGUAGGGAAUCUUCCACAAUGGGCGAAAGCCUGAUGGAGCAACGCCGCGUGGGUGAAGAAGGUCUUCGGAUCGUAAAACCCUGUUGUUAGAGAAGAAAGUGCGUGAGAGUAACUGUUCACGUUUCGACGGUAUCUAACCAGAAAGCCACGGCUAACUACGUG
rnacentral:rRNA from 1 species